UAUAUGAGCAAGCUGUCGCCAUUAUCACGAAGACCAAUAAUGGCAGUAUAUUGACAGGGAGAAACAGAUAAAUAGUGAAUAUAGUUGUAAAUUAUACUAUAAAUUAGAAUUCAGUCGAAAAUAACACCUUGAUGAUCGAGAUUGUUUAGUCUGCAUAGUGGGUAAAUAGUUUCGUGAAAUCGGUAAAAAGAGCAACGUGAACGUGCAAGAAUUUUUUUAUUCCGUUCUGUGUAUUUUUUUGUGGACCAAUAGGCUAAUAAGAGAGAGCCCGCUGCCCUUCGGAAAUUGGUAAUGAUUCUCGUUACUGACUUUACAAAUGGUGUACUCUUAAACUUAAGAUUGUACACAUGAUUAUGUUUUAUUGUAUGGCAUUGGAUCUGUCAGCUGUCAUGCAUGUUGUUGAAGGAAGUUUAGGAUUAUUAAUUAACCAAUUUUAAGCAUUGUACAAAUAUACGUCCCCAAUUCAAAUGCAUUGAUCUUCAAAAAAAAGGGGGGGUUCCAACCUCCUGAACCCUCCCUCUGGAUCCACCACUGGUACAUAUAUAUGUAUAUUCAUGAUAUCUUUUAAGAUUGUAUUGUUAAUAAGGGUAAUUUACAAAAUGUAGGCUACACAACUGAGUAUAUAAUACCAGAACUCCAUUACUAGAGGAAGUCUGCAAGCUGUGUUAUAUAUAGUCCGCAGGCAAUCAGGUCACAUUGUCCCAGCCUAUUCACAGUGGAAAUCACUGUACAAUGUACAUGAUGUAGGUGGCCCUCCAAAAUCUUGUUUUGCUACUUAUGAAUCAUGGGUUUAAAAUAUUACCAUAAAACAGACAGUUACUAAAUAGUCUCUCUGAGUCUCAGUUUUAAGCUCACCUUUCCUAAAAAAACAUGGGUGCCAAAGCUACAUUUUUUGUAAAUACAUGUAUAGAACAUAGGGGUAAAAUGUAGUUUUGGGAUUAUAUCUGAAAAUUAAAGCAUUUAGAGCAAAUCUGACAUGGCGUAAAAAUGUUUAUUAGCUGUACAUCUAUCAGCCCUGAAAUUUUCAGACAAACCCGUCAACUGAUUGUUGGGUUGCUGCCACUAUAUUAGUAAUAUUAGGGAACAUUUGCAGUUUUUGGUUAUUUUCUUGAAUAUUAUUAUAGAUAACGAUUAACUGUUCACAGCAAAAAUGUUCAGCAAAGUAAGAUCUACAAAUAAGUCAAAAGGAGUUAUUGGCCUUUAAAUAUAAAAAAGAAGAUGUGGUAUGAUUGCCAAUGAGACAACUAUCCACAAAAGACCAAAAUGACACAAACAUUAACAACUAUAGGUCACCGUACGGCCUUCAACAAUGAGCAAAGCCCAUACCGCAUAGUCAGCUAUAAAAGGCCCCGAUAAGACAAUAUAAAACAAUUCAAACGAGAAAACUAAAAGCCAUUUUACACAGUUUGUUCAUUAUGUUUGUUAGCUUUCAAAAAUCUUCUUCUCUGAAACUACUGAACAAGUUGCAGGCAAACUUAUUCUAAAUGAUCCUAAGUGUUUAAUUUUGUGUUUUGUAAAAAAAACAUGGCUACCAUGGCUAAAAAUAAAAUUUUCAGAUGAAUGGAACAACCAAUUGUUGUGUUGCUGCCACUACAUGUAUAUAGUAAAUUUUUGAAAAAUUCAGCUGUUUUUGGUAUUUUCUUGAAUAUUAUUAUAUUAUUAUAGAUAAAGACUGUAAACAGCAAAAAUGUUUAGCAAAGUUAAAAGACCAAAAUUGUCAAUUGACCACUUAAGGAGUUAUUGCCCUUUAAAGACAAUUUUGCACAAUUUGUUCAUCAUAUAAAAUUAAAGAUGUGGUGUAAUUUCCAAUGUGACAACUCUUCACAAAAGAUCAAAUGACACAGAAAUAAACAACUAUAGGUCACCAUAAAGCCUUCAACAAUGAGCAAACCCCAUACUGCAUAGUCAGCUUUAAAAGGCCCAGAAAUGUCAAAUGUAAAACAAUUCAAACGAGAAAACUAACGGCCUUAUUAAUUUACAAGUAAAUGAACGAAAAACAAAUAUGUAACACAGCAACAAACAAGAACCACUGAAUUGCAGGCUCCUGACUUGGGACAGGCACAUACAUACAUGAUGUGACAGGGUUAAACAUGUUAGCGAGAUCCCAACCCUCCCUAACAUAGGACAGUGGUGUAAUAGUACAACAUUGAAACGAACUAUAAAAAUCAGUUGAAAAAGGCUUAACUCAUCAGAUGGAUACAAAUAGAAAUAUAUCUAACAAAAACAGAGUGAAAGUGGCUGGGCACUUAUACAUCCCAACAACAAAAAGACCAUAAGUACAGAUCUGAGAGUACUCACAGUUACUGACAGCUAGUUCAAAGCCAUUAACAAUUAAUAAAAAAAAAUCAUGCAUCUAAGACUAAAUUAUCAAUCAUUACACAUCCAACAUCACAUGGAUUUAGUGUAAAGACGUCAUAAACAGUCAGAGAAAAACAUGACCUUGUGCAAUGCUAAGAUAAGGUAUCAACAGAUUGUAGAUCCAUGAAUGUGCAUAUAUGUAUAUUAUAUAUAACAAUAAUAUUUAGUUUGCUUUUAGUUUACUGAUAACAAAAUCAAUAUUAAUACCAAUUCUUUUAGAAUAAGUUUGCUAACUUUAAAUAAUCUUAAUAUUCCUCUGAAAUUACUGAACAAAUUUCAACCUAACUUGAGGUGAAUUAUAAUUAGGGUAUCUCCAAUAAAGUUUAUGUUUUAUUUUCUGUUUUCCCGAGAAAAAAACAUGGCCACCAUGGCUAAAAAUAGAAUAUAGGGUAGAAUGCAGUUUUUGGCUAAAUAAUUAAUUAUUUCAAAAACUAAAGCAUUUAGAGCAAAUCAGAGAAGGAGUUAAAGUAUAAUUCAUUAGGUCAAGGUCUACCCGCCCUGAAAUUAUCAUCAGGGUAACAGAUUUUUAGGUUAUUGCCCCUGAAUUGAUCAUUUAAGGAAAAUUGUCAAUUAUUAUCUUGAAUAUUAUGAUAGAUAAAGAUAUUAAACUGUAAAACAGCAAAAAAAAUGUUAAGCAAAGUAAGAUCUGCAAAUAAGUCUUCUGAACUAAAUGUUCAAUUUACCCUUAAGGAGUAAUUGCCUUUUAAAUUCCAUUCUCAAUUUUAUUAUUUACAAUUUGUUCUCUUAAAUAUUAAAAAAUCUUCUCCUUUGAAAUUGCUGAAUUAAAAUCCGCCAAACUUAGGCUGAAUGAGCUUUAGAGUAUCUAGUAUAAAUUUUGUAUUCUAUUUCCUAGCAUAUAAAAAAACAGCCCUAUGGCUAAAAGGAAACUAAGGGGUAAAAUGCAUUUUUAAUUUGAAAAGCAAAAAUAAUAAUUGAUGAAGAUUUAAGCAAAAAAUUACAGUUGAGAGCCUCUUGUUCAUUAAUUACAAGUAUGUAUUAUAUAUUCAUUAGAAUCUGUCAUUUUAUUAGUGUUUUAUAAGCAUCCGCUUUUAAUUUGCACAUUUCCAAUUCAAUGGACCAUGUUUUAUCUUUAUAAACGUUCGAUGUGACUGUGUCACUGUGGGCCAAUUAAUUCACUGUGUGCUAUGCAUAAAUUAUCAAGACCCAGAAUUGCAAAAAAAAUAUUGCUACAUGUCAUUUUCAAUAGCUUUUUUCCCUACUGAGGACUGUCUAUAAAGCAUGAUGAAUUUAUGUCUUUUUUUUUUUUUAGAUAAAAUGCCUUUGUUUAGGAAAAGAGGCAGACCUUAUGCCCAUGUUACAUAUGAAAGAGGUAAAAGGAAAUUAAAGAAAGGUGUUCAGGUCAUAAAAAAAAUCAAACAGGAAACAAAACCUACAUCUGGACUCUAGCUUGCUUCCAAAUUUUCAGGAAAUGACCUUAAUUCAGAUCCUCCUUGUUCAAGUUCAGUGCUUUGUAUAGAAUAUUGCCAUAAAAUAUUGGAUGUGAAAUACCUGAAAGUAUAAGAUGUCUACAUGUUGAUCUUUAAUUACGAAUGAUGUUCUUGUACGAUGAUAACAUUUUGUAAAUGUUUUGACUUGUUUGUGAUAUCAAGAACUUUGUAAUAAUUUUCAAUAAUUCAGAGAUUAAUUUUUUUUCAUUAAAAUCAAAUAUAUUGUUACAAUACAUACAGGAGCAAAUCGAACAAGUUGAGAUAUAUGUAUAAACACAAUAAGAUGUUGACAGAUUGUUUCUGAAUGUUUCUUAUUUAUUUCUUGAAUAAAUUCCAGUAGUACAUUGUGUACUAGUACUGCUUUUUUCAAAGAUAAAUAUUGUAAUGGUUUGGGAAAAAAAUCCCUCUUAACUAUUGAAAGUUAGAUAACUAUUCACAUACAUGAAUGAAUGUUUAUUUUUUAGGUACAGAUGCCCUUAAAGUUUUUGAUGAAGUAAAGAGCAAGAUACUAUCCCAUCCGGCAGUGAUACCUUCAUGACACUGUAUGAUUAAUUUGACAAAGAAUAACAAUAGGACACCAACAGUUCACAUAUGAGAAGAUGUUUUAGGGUAAACCACAUACUGUGUAGGAUUUAAUAAUGUCCCCUAUGAAAUGAUGUCCAGAGGACAUUAUUUCAUAGUAAAUACAUGGACAAUAUUUACUUAUUUAGAUGUGUCCUGGACACAAUUUCCUAUGAAAAUAUGUCCUUUGGGUAUGAAAAAGUGUCUAUGAACAUGAACAUUAUUUAAUACUAUAAUUCUGUACAGGUGGACACUUUUUUUCAGGACAUUAUAUCCAUCAGGACAUUUUUUUGAUAUGAUCAAAAUAUUAAAUGAUGUCCAUUGCCUUGUUAUUACUGGACAUAUUUUAACUUUAAUACAGUGUUACCUUGACAGAGAGUUGUCUCAUUGACACUCAUAUCUUCCUUAUCUUCCUAUUUAUACUUUUAAUAUAUAUAUACAUGUGUGAUGAUUUAAAUUGAAAUAAAAAAGUGACAGAUGCUGUUCAGUAUUAUUUUCCUUGAAGGACACAAUUAAAUAACAAUUACUACAAAAAAUUGUCCUGUAGGUGGACCAUAUUUCAUAACUGUUGCUGUAAAAUGCUGUAUACGUAGGGGACAACAUUCCAUGGCAAUGGACAGUGUUUAAUACCAAAAUUCUAUAUUUUCUAUUGCCUUCUUCUCAUAAUAAAUAUAGUAUAGUUCUUCACAUUUGAUUUUAUACUUUACACUCUUCUUCCUUUUUGUUCUUAUCAUUAGCUGGGUAUUUCUUAAAACUUUAAUUUCUCUCUAUUUACUUCCAUCCUUAAUUUUUUGUUUACAUAUGUAUAUUAAUCAAUUUCUAAUCAAUCCUUCAGAUUUUUAUUAAUAUUCAAGUGUAAUAAAACUUUUUAAUGGCCUUUGUAUUACUUCCCUUGGAGGACACAAUUUAAUAGUGACUACUAUGACAACUUGUCCUGUAGGUGAACACUUUUUCAUAACUUUUGCAGUAAAAUUCUGUCCAGUUGAGGGACAAUAUUUCAUGGCAAUGGACAUUAUUAAAUACCAAAAUUCUAUGAAAAAUUGUCCACAUGGACACUAUUAUGUCUUACAACUGUACAGAAAUUAUUUAAAUAAUUUGAAAAAAAAUAUUAAGCAAAAUUUUUCAAAUAUUGUUGGGCUUUAAAUGACACAGAAUUAACCACUAUAUGUCACUGUAAGCCUUCAACAAAGAACAAAACCAACACCACAUAGUCAGCUAUAAAAAGCCUCAAAACAAAAAAAUGUAAAACAAUUCAACGAGAAAAAAUAAUGGCUUAAUUUAUGUAAAAAAUGAUAUGUAACACAGUCACAGCAACAAAAAUCCACUACAGGUUCCUGACUUGUGACAGGCACAUACGAUUGUGAAGGGUUAAACUAGUUUGAAGGCACUAACCCUUCCCCUAACCUGGAAAAGUGGUGUAACAAUACAACAUAAUAACAAACUAUGAAAAUCAGUUGAAUUUUUUUUUUAACUCAGCUCAAGGAUACAAAUAGAAAUACAUCUAACAAAAAAAACAGAAAAUUGACAUGGAUGGGUACUGGUACAUCCCAACAUAAAAAUAGAAAAAAAACAGCCUAAUUAAUGUACAAAAAAAUGAAUGAAAAACAAAUAUUCACAGUUACUGACAGCUAGUUCAAAGCCAAUAACAACUUAUAAAAAGAAUCAUGCAUCUAAGACUGAUUUGUCAAUCAAUACACAUGCACCAUCUACUGGAUUUAGUAAACAGGUGUCAUAAAGUAAUUCAGAGAAAAAACAUGAACUUGUGCAAUGCCAAGAUACAGGUAUUGACAGAUUGUAAGAUCCAUAAAUGUGCAUAUGUAUAUAACUAUAAUAUUAAGUUCGAUUUUAAUUAAAUAAUAACAAAUCAAUAUUAUACCAAUAAAAACAAAAUUUAAAGACCUAAUUACAGUGUUGAUUUGGUAACCGUUUCAAAUAAGUUUAUUUAAAGGAUCAAUAAUUUUACCUGGAUCGUUUCUAAAUUUCUGUGCUCGGAAAACAACAUAUGAUCAACAUAUACAUUUGUACUCAUAUUUGUUCUUUUUUUCAUAUGAGGCAGACUUCAUACAUGUACAGGAGCUUCUAAAGAGGUUUGAAAAGAUGGAGAUGUGGUAUGAUUACCAAUGUGACAACUAGUCACAAUUGAUUUGGGUAGAAGGGACAAUAAGUAAUGCCUUCAACCAUGAGUAUAAAAGACCAAAUCAGAAAAAAUAAUGGCUAGAUUUAGGACCAAAUAAAUUGAAAACAAUUUUAAUGGAAACCAACCACUCAAUUUCAGGCUCCUGGUUCCAGAUUUGGGACAGGCACAUAUUAAAUAUUUUUAAUUUGAGAUAACUUGUGAGCACUUAACCAAGAAAUAUUAACAAUAUGUAACAAAAAAUCUCCCCUUUGGCUUACAUUCUUGCAUAGAUUUUCCCAUUUGGAAACUGACUGAAUUAAUUAAAAAAAAUACACAUUUAUUACUUUUUAUUUUUCUCUUUCUUUAUCAACUUUAAUUAAUUUGCUAUCAUGUUAUUGUUUCUUUGUUAUUUUUAGGUGAAUGGUUAUAGUAAUUUAGACAAGCAAA
rnacentral:lncRNA from 1 species